GGGUGCGAUCAUACCAGCACUAAUGCACCGGAUCCCAUCAGAACUCCGCAGUUAAGCAUGCUUGGGCGAGAGUAGUACUAGGAUGGGUGACCUCCUGGGAAGUCUUCGUUUUGCACCU
rnacentral:rRNA from 1 species